rnacentral:rRNA from 1 species
UGGGGAAUUUUGGACAAUGGGCGCAAGCCUGAUCCAGCCAUGCCGCGUGCGGGAAGAAGGCCUUCGGGUUGUAAACCGCUUUUGUCAGGGAAGAAAUCUUCUGAGUUAAUACCUCGGGGAGGAUGACGGUACCUGAAGAAUAAGCACCGGCUAACUACGUGCCAGCAGCCGCGGUAAUACGUAGGGUGCAAGCGUUAAUCGGAAUUACUGGGCGUAAAGCGUGCGCAGGCGGUUUUGUAAGACAGAGGUGAAAUCCCCGGGCUCAACCUGGGAACUGCCUUUGUGACUGCAAGGCUUGAGUGCGGCAGAGGGGGACGGAAUUCCGCGUGUAGCAGUGAAAUGCGUAGAUAUGCGGAGGAACACCGUGGCGAAGGCAAUCCCCUGGGCCUGCACUGACGCUCAUGCACGAAAGCGUGGGGAGCAAA